rnacentral:rRNA from 1 species
GACAGAGGGUGCAAACGUUGCUCGGAAUCACUGGGCGUAAAGGGCGCGUAGGCGGGAUGGCAAGUCAGUCGUGAAAUCUCUCGGCUCAACCGAGAAACGUCGGCUGAUACUGCCGUUCUUGAGGGAUGCAGAGGAGACUGGAAUUCCCGGUGUAGCGGUGAAAUGUGUAGAGAUCGGGAGGAACACCGGUGGCGAAGGCGGGUCUCUGGGCAUCUCCUGACGCUGAGGCGCGAAAGCGUGGGGAGCAAACGGGG